rnacentral:lncRNA from 1 species
GCGGAAGUUCUGAACAUUUGAAUUAAAAGUAUCGGAUGAAGUGGCUUGAGGUUUGACAGCCAAGGGCAGAGUUGCGGCAGUGAUUUGAAUGGUGGAGGAAGAGCUCUACGGUGAGGACGAAACUAGCUCAGGUAGCCUUCCAUUGGAAGGAAGCUAGAUGGAGAAUGGAAAGCUCAAAUUAAGAAGACUUUUGGUAGAGUCCGUGUGCUGGAAAUUCUUCAGCAGAAGGAUAUCUAAUUUAUCAUCCAAAAGUGAAUACAUGGGCAGCCAAGGUGAGUUAUAUAGACUCUUCAUCCUUUGGCUUGGUGAUGGAAACGUGUUCAUCCAAUAUGAAUCACGUUCCCUAUUUCUAAAACAUGUGCUAAAUGUGCUAGCUUCUAGAAACUAGAUGGAGUACACGUUUAUUUCUAUUUCUAAAAUAAGGAAGUUUCCGGUGCACCCCCUAUUAAGCUCUCCUCACUCCUUCAUGUGUGUAAAAUGACUUCUUUAUCCUUCUUUGGUGGACUUUAUUUAUUAGGCUUGGGCCCCGCGUAUCAUCCCCUCCCUCUUGAGAAGGAUUUGUCCUCAAAUCUGGUGGGUCGUCUUUAUGAGGACUUAUUUUUGUUGGCUCCAUAUAAGUUCCUCCAGGGUCAAAUGUGAAUCUGCAAUAAGCAUCAAACAUAUAACUGAUUAAUUUCAAUUAACCCAACAAGAUGCAUGAAAAGGUAUGUUUAGAAGAAGGCUUCCUAAUGUUAGAUUGUUCAAGCUUUAUAAUUUUAUGAAGCCUUACUUCUUUUAAAAAAUUUAUUUUUGUCUUGAGUUAGUGGGAACCAAAGAGGUAACCAUAACUCAAGUUGUGAAUUGCCAUCUGUUAAAAGUUCUAAAUUUUGAAAAUAUGGUAUGGCAAUUUCUUUGAAAAACAAAUUAAAAUGAGAAAACUCAAAGAUAGAUGGAGAAAGGUUAAAGGAAGGAAAACCUCCCCUUAAUAGUCUUGGUUCUAUGAGGAGUGUAGGAGGAGGUGGUGCUUGCUCUUUUCCUAGUUCUUGUUCUUCUUCUUGUUUUAUUGGCUCUUCUUCUUUGCUUCUUCUAUUUCUCUUCUUGUCUCUUCUUCUUUUCUCUCUUGCUUUCUUUUCUCUCUUCUUUGUUCUUCCUCCCUUCUCUUUUUUGCUUCUUCUUUUCUUCUCUCUUGUUCUCUUCUAUCUCUUUCUUCCUUUUCUCUUUUCUCUUGCUCUAUUCUAUCUUGUUCUAUUCUCUCUUGUUCUCUUCUCUCUUGCUCUAUUCUCUCUUGUUCUNUUCUCUCUUGUUCUCUUCUCUCUUGCUCUAUUCUCUCUUGUUCUCUUCUCUCUCUUUCUUCCUUUUUUCUUCUCUCUUUUUCUCUUCUUUCUCUUGAUUCUUGCUCUUGUUUUUCUCUUUUUAAUCUCUCAUCUCUAUAUUUUCUUGUCUCUUCCCAUAACCUCUUAANAUUUUCUAGAAACUCACUUUCCCUACAAGAGAACCCACUUAAAUUGUUAAUGAAUGACUGGCCUUCUCUAAUAAGUUCUCUCAUAAGUUCUAAAUUUCUUUGAGAUUCUGGAGGCACAAAAUUUCUUCUCAAAUAAACUUUUAGUUCUUUCCAAUUAUGGAUGGGAACUGUUCUACCUAUCCUAACAUGGUAUUGUCUUUCUUCCCACCACUCUCUUGCAUAUUUUUCAAAUCUAGAAGUGUAAAGACUAAGGAUGUAAGAUUCACAAUCUCAAGAAUAAUAGGAUGAAACUUUUAUGAAUUUAAAAGUUUUCUUAAAGUAAGGAUGAAAAGAUUUCACUUAAAAGCAAUAUUCCAGGUAAGAGAGGUGAACCUAAAAAGGUUGCUUAAAUACCAAAUCUUGCCUUGCCAAAUAUGCUUCUAGUUACUUACUAAAAAUCCUUAAAUAAAAAUUACCUCUAAAUUCAACAAAUGUCUAGAAACAAUUAAUCAUGAAGAGAAAACUACACUUUAAGAUUUUUCCAAAAACUUUGAAGAAUUGAAAGGAGUGAGAUCUCUUAGGUGAGGCUUGGACUUUGGAUCCAAGACACACUCACCAUCUACCAAUUUUAAUGAGAAAUUAAGAGCAAAAGGUUUACAAGUGAUGGAAGAACACUUGUGAAUUCUUCCAAGUCACUUGCUUAAUGGCCAUUUACAAGUACUUUUGCAAAACAAAUGACUUGAUACAACAAGGAAGUGAGAAGGAAAUGAUGUGUGCAACUUUGGCUUCUUUCAAAGAAAGUGAAUUUGAUGGAUUCACACUAAUCUCACAACUGCCAAGUGAAUUUUGCUACUGUUGCAGCACCCAGAAUUUGUUCAAACUAAUGAAAACGUGAUUUUGCAGCUGCACUAGGAUUUCUGCAUUAUAAAAUAACACUUUGCUGCACCAAAAAUUAUGCAGACUGCACACCAGCUUUGGCUGCACCAGAAAGCACCUCAAGUUGAUCUUUACUUGCUUCAAUCUUCUUCCUAGGAUGCUACCAAAGUUAAGGCACGGCCUGAGUUAAUUUCUGCACCAAAAGAGAGCUCAAACAAACCUCCCAUGAUCAGUUUCCAGUGUAGGAAACAAUCACUGCUGCUGUCAAAAAUUGCAGAACCAGAAUGCACCACUGUUUUUUUUAUCAAAUAGCUUGUGUGCAGAGUUGUAAAUAAUUAAAAAGCAAACAAUUAAACGGUUUUCAAUGGAAGGUGGCACUCAAAAUGAACUUAAGAAUGGUUUUAGAGUGGAUUUGAAAAGCAAGAAAAGCAAAACAUGCUGCAGUUUAACGAAAUGAUGAUGAUUUCACAAAAUUUGGCAAACUGUUCGAUGAAAUGACUCAAAGAAAACAGAAUUUGUAUUUUCUACCUUUGCUGUCACGGUUCAAUCCGGAUUGCAGGGAUGAUUAGCUUUUUACUAUUGGUUUGCAAGGUUCAAUGACAGUAAAGAAGAAUAGAAAAUGAUCCCAGCUCUUGCCAAUCCCAAACACUUAAAUCACAACUCAAUUCAACUUAAUCUGCACACCAAAACUGAAUGCACCAAAUUAUGAUGGCUGGAAAAUUGUGAAAACAGCAAUACCACUGAGAUAUUCUGUGCUUAUGACUUCCCAUCAAUAUUAUAUGAUGAAAAGAAUUAUGUGCAAUCAAUAAUGCAGCCAAGAAAUGAUCCACAAAAGAAUUCCACUGAUACACUUCCAAAAUUGGUCAAAAUCAAUGGUUUAAGUGGUAUAGCUAUGCAUAGUCGCAAAUUUGACCAUAUGAACAGUGAAGACACAUUUGAAUUCACUUAAUAUGAGUGUUUAAUCAAGAAAACAGUGGAAACACAAUUGAAUUUAGAUUAUGACUGCACUAGUUGAGAAAUUUACUCAAAUUUGGGAAGUGGCAUGAUGAUUUUGUGCAUUGUUGGAAGAAUGACCAGAAAAACAAUGUAGACACAUUUUAAAUGGUCAAAUAAAGUUGUCCAAAUGUGUUCAAUGCACAAAAAAUAGCAAAUGCACAAUUUCACCACUUGAGUUGCCAAAUUAUGCAGAAAUCAAUAAAAUGCAGCACAGUACAGUAAGUUUUGGUGGAUGCAAAGUUUUUAGACCAGCAAUUUGGUAAAAUAAUGAAUCCUAACUCAAGAUCUAGCUUGAGAAAAUCAAGCUAGUGGAUUUUAGAGAUCCUAUGACACAACCAAGGACAAUNAGCACGGUGCCAAGCUNUAGGUUAUAACAAUNACANNANCACAUUCUUANUCNAGAUUUUGAGUAAUUCAACUACUCAAAUAGCAAAUCUGUGAUGAAUAGAUGUUGUAAUAUCUUUAGAUACUUGUAGCAUCAUCAAACAGAUUUGGAAAAGGUGUUCAACCAUUAAAUCUUGAUAUAGUAACGUGCAUCAGUAAAAUCCAGCAAAAAAAAUGUUAAAAACAGAGUUGUAGUACAGAUCUGUUGCUGAAAUCACUAUUGGCAUUGCUUUUAUUCAAAUGAUCAAGGCUGGAUGAAACUCCAUUGCCUUAUAUGAUCAACAUAGAAUUAGCUAAUGCUCAACACAAUUAAAAUCAAAAAUAUUCACGUUGAAACAGAGUAAAAAAAAAAACUGAUUGACAAUUUUAAAACGGCAACAACGUUGCACAUGACUCAACACGACUGGAAAAUGAUUAAACGAUAGGAUGAGACUUCAAACAAAAUAAAGCACCGAUUAAAAUGAUAAGAAAAUGCUAUAGAAUAGUGAAUAACAACGAACAUUCACUUACACAGAAAAACAGAAAAGAAAAUCAAUCAAAUAGUACAUACUUGAAGCAAUGACAGUGUGGAAAUUGAAUGACAAUUUGGAAUCAAGAAAAUGGACUUAUCUGGAGCAUGAAUCAUCCAACCAUAGCUCUGAAUACCACAUGAUAAAGAUGCAUCAGCCAGAAAUGAAGAUUUGAGAUGCAGCGGAAGUUCUGAACAUUUGAAUUAGAGGUAUCGAAUGAAGUGGCUUGAGGUUUGACAGCCAAGGGCAGAGUUGCGACAAUGAUUUGAAUGGUGAAGGAAGAGCUCUACGGCGAGGACGAAACUAGCUCAGGCAGCCUUCCAUUGGAAGGAAGCUAGAUGGAGAAUGGAAAGCUCAAAUGAAGAAGACUUUUGGUAGAGUCCGUGUGCUGGAAAUUCUUCAAGAGAAGGAAAUCUCAUUUAUCAUCCAAAAGUGAAUACAUGGGCAGCCAAGGUGAGUUAUAUAGACUCCUCAUCUUUUGGCUUGGUGAUGAAAACGUGUUCAUCCAAUAUGAAUCACGUUUCCUAUUUCUAAAACAUGUGUUAAAUGUGCUAGCUUCUAGAAACUAGAUGGAGUACACGUUUAUUUCUAUUUCUAAAAUAAGAAAGUUCCCGGUGCACCCCCUAUUAAGCUAUCC